GUCAGCAGUACGAUGCUAGUUAAUGAUCUAUUAAGUGAUGCGUGCGUUGCUUAGCGUUGCUUAUGGACAGGGCAGGAAAAGUGUUGAUGUUGCUUCUUCUACUAAUGAGAUUCCACAUCCUACGAAUUUUUAGGAACAGAUAACAGGAAUAAAAUCGGCUGCAGCACUCCAGCAUGGAGCAGUGGGCCGAGCGAAGGCGCGUGCUGCAGGACGCCUUCUACUGCAGCGCCAUCCGAGUGCACAGUCGGGCCUGCACUUACACACACACACACACACACACACACACACACACACACACACACACACACACAAUAUUCACUCAUUUAUAAUGCUCACAGGACAGGACGCUGGAUUUCGGGUGCUUUUGGUUUUGUCUCCUGAUUGUUGGAUCUGUUGAAGGUUUCAUCCUGGACAUGAAGGACAUUUGCCCUAGAAAGUGCCCUAUGAACCCAUAACCUUGUUGACCACAGGGCCUCUCUCCAGCCUCGGGCCAAGCUGCCAAAUUACACACCGAGCCGCUCAGCAAACGUGAUCGAUGGUUCUAUUCAUUGAUAAAGUCGUAAGUGAACCUGAACGUAUUCAGCCAACACUUCCGAUCAGAUGAAAUGAAGCUGACCUUCAUCACCAGAAAACUGUAUGAAGUCCACAUCCUUCCAACGAGGUGUUACUGUGAAAACAGUAAGAUCGUCCCAACCAAUCAGAAUCCAGGACGUUUACUAAUAGAAAUAAUGCACUGAAUGUUGAAGGCCCUGAAGCUCUGCAGGCCCAGAGUAAGAGAAAGAGAAAGAGAAGGUGUAGAGGAUGUGAAAUGAGAAGAGGAUGAGGGAGUGUAGCAGUGGGUGGAGAACUGGGGCUAAGGACCUGCUCUAGUCAGCUCUUUCCAAUGGAGGGAACAUGACGGAGUGGACAGCUUCUAUGGGCUCGGCUCAAUGGAGCUGCUUCCCCUUUACAUGAUAACUUUGAUCCCCGGCGCUUCACACACCACUCAGCAAUAUUGUCUAACAGCGCCGGGUUAAUACUUUAACCAGCGCACGGCAUGAGGCUGAUAGAGUGUGUGUGUGUGUGUGUGUGUGUGUGUGUGUGUGUGUGUGUGUGUGGGGAGUCUGUAUCUCAAUCAGCUGACAUUCCAGAGCUAACAGGAGAAAGACGACCGUUCAUCAGGACAGAGCGAGAAAAGGAAAUUCAUCAGCGUUUCUUCUACACAGUAGAAAGUCGAAACCUCAUUCCUGAGUUCAUUACUUACAACAUUGAUAUGCAUUUUAUUGAUAUAAAUUAUAUACAAUUAUUGGUGAAAAUUGUCUA